CGUUGGGCCUGGCAUAGCCUUCACCCCGAGUCCGUAUUCUCCGGAUGAUCCCACCAUCUUCUUCUUCUGUCAGGUCCUCUCCCCUGAACUCGAACAACUCCACCUGUGGGACGAGACGCAAGGCAACACGACCCCUUUCAGCAUUAGCCCGUCCACAGAAGAGUCCCUGGUCUCUGCCAGACCUGGCCUGAGCACCUGGACAGCCAAACCAAGAGUGGACAAAGUAGCACUUUUGGAAGGACACGCUCCAGCCAAUCCUUAUCCAGCCGUCUCAGAAGGCCAAUCUGGUAGGCAGUGGAAAGGACCCAACAUCUUUCAACAGUCUCGCAAACAUUCUCCAAGUAUCCACUAAGGAGGGCUCAGCCAUUCUGACACCAAAUGGUGUCAAGUUCCACCGCUCAGUGAAGGCUUUCCUCAGCUCCUUGACCCAUGGGGGGCAUCUCUCCUCUCCUUUGAUCCCUAAAGCACCGAUAUUCUAUACUGUUGUUUAUAAAGAUUCUGACUUUCUGACUCCUCUCAGUCAAAAUUAUAACCAAUCUCCGGGCAUAGCUCUUGAAAUAAAACAUGCCUCAACCCUUA